CAGCCGCCGCGGUAAAACGGAGGGUGCAAGCGUUGUCCGGAUUUAUUGGGUUUAAAGGGUGCGUAGGCGGCCUAAUAAGUCAGUGGUGAAAGCCUCCAGCUUAACUGGAGAACUGCCAUUGAUACUGUUAGGCUUGAGUAUACUUGAGGUAGGCGGAAUUGACAGUGUAGCGGUGAAAUGCAUAGAUAUUGUCAAGAACACCAAUUGCGAAGGCAGCUUACUAAAUUAUAACUGACGCUGAGGCACGAAAGUGUGGGUAUCAAACAGGAUUAGAUACCCGCGUAGUCCCUGUCUCUUAUAC
rnacentral:rRNA from 1 species